rnacentral:rRNA from 1 species
UGGGGAAUUUUGGACAAUGGGCGCAAGCCUGAUCCAGCCAUGCCGCGUGCGGGAAGAAGGCCUUCGGGUUGUAAACCGCUUUUGUCAGGGAAGAAAUCUUCUGAGUUAAUACCUCGGGAGGCAUGACGGUACCUGAAGAAUAAGCACCGGCUAACUACGUGCCAGCAGCCGCGGUAAUACGUAGGGUGCAAGCGUUAAUCGGAAUUACUGGGCGUAAAGCGUGCGCAGGCGGUUUUGUAAGACAGAGGUGAAAUCCCCGGGCUCAACCUGGGAACUGCCUUUGUGACUGCAAGGGCUUGAGUGCGGCAGAGGGGGAAUGGAAUUCCGCGUGUAGCAGUGAAAUGCGUAGAUAUGCGGAGGAACACCGAUGGCGAAGGCAAUCCCCUGGGCCUGCACUGACGCUCAUGCACGAAAGCGUGGGGAGCAAACC